GACGAACGCUGGCGGCGUGCUUAACACAUGCAAGUCGAACGAUGAAGCCGGAGCUUGCUCUGGUGAAUUAGUGGCGAACGGGUGAGUAACACGUGAGUAACCUGCCCUUGACUCUGGGAUAACUGCUAGAAAUGGUAGCUAAUACCGGAUACGACCCUCGGCGGCAUCGCCAGGGGGUGGAAAGAAUUUCGGUCAAGGAUGGACUCGCGGCCUAUCAGCUAGUUGGUGAGGUAACGGCUCACCAAGGCGACGACGGGUAGCCGGCCUGAGAGGGUAACCGGCCACACUGGGACUGAGACACGGCCCAGACUCCUCAGGGAGGCAGCAGUGGGGAAUAUUGCACAAUGGGCGCAAGCCUGAUGCAGCAGCGCCGCGUGAGGGAUGACGGCCUUCGGGUUGUAAACCUCUUUUAGUAGGGAAGAAGCGAAAGUGACGGUACCUGCAGAAAAAGCACCGGCUAACUACGUGCCAGCAGCCGCCGUAACAC
rnacentral:rRNA from 1 species